CCGGCUGCAGCUGCUGCUGCGGCGCCCGCGCUCCGGUGCGCUCCGCCUCCUGUGCCCGCCGCGGAGCGCAGUCUGCGCGCCCGCCGUGCGCCCUCAGCUCCUUUUCCUGAGCCCGCCGCGAUGGGAGCUGCGCGGGGAUCCCCGGCCAGACCCCGCCGGUUGCCUCUGCUCAGCGUCCUGCUGCUGCCGCUGCUGGGCGGUACCCAGACAGCCAUUGUCUUCAUCAAGCAGCCGUCCUCCCAGGAUGCACUGCAGGGGCGCCGGGCGCUGCUUCGCUGUGAGGUUGAGGCUCCGGGCCCGGUACAUGUGUACUGGCUGCUCGAUGGGGCCCCUGUCCAGGACACGGAGCGGCGUUUCGCCCAGGGCAGCAGCCUGAGCUUUGCAGCUGUGGACCGGCUGCAGGACUCUGGCACCUUCCAGUGUGUGGCUCGGGAUGAUGUCACUGGAGAAGAAGCCCUCAGUGCCAACGCCUCCUUCAACAUCAAAUGGAUUGAGGCAGGUCCUGUGGUCCUGAAGCAUCCAGCCUCGGAAGCUGAGAUCCAGCCACAGACCCAGGUCACACUUCGUUGCCACAUUGAUGGGCACCCUCGGCCCACCUACCAAUGGUUCCGAGAUGGGACCCCCCUUUCUGAUGGUCAGAGCAACCACACAGUCAGCAGCAAGGAGCGGAACCUGACGCUCCGGCCAGCUGGUCCUGAGCAUAGUGGGCUGUAUUCCUGCUGCGCCCACAAUGCUUUUGGCCAGGCUUGCAGCAGCCAGAACUUCACCUUGAGCAUUGCUGAUGAAAGCUUUGCCAGGGUGGUGCUGGCACCCCAGGACGUGGUAGUAGCGAGGAAUGAGGAGGCCAUGUUCCAUUGCCAGUUCUCAGCCCAGCCACCCCCGAGCCUGCAGUGGCUCUUUGAGGAUGAGACUCCCAUCACUAACCGCAGUCGCCCCCCACACCUCCGCAGAGCCACAGUGUUUGCCAACGGGUCUCUGCUGCUGACCCAGGUCCGGCCACGCAAUGCAGGGAUCUACCGCUGCAUUGGCCAGGGGCAGAGGGGCCCACCCAUCAUCCUGGAAGCCACACUUCACCUAGCAGAGAUUGAAGACAUGCCGCUAUUUGAGCCACGGGUGUUUACAGCUGGCAGCGAGGAGCGUGUGACCUGCCUUCCCCCCAAGGGUCUGCCAGAGCCCAGCGUGUGGUGGGAGCACGCGGGAGUCCGGCUGCCCACCCAUGGCAGGGUCUACCAGAAGGGCCACGAGCUGGUGUUGGCCAAUAUUGCUGAAAGUGAUGCUGGUGUCUACACCUGCCACGCGGCCAACCUGGCUGGUCAGCGGAGACAGGAUGUCAACAUCACUGUGGCCACUGUGCCCUCCUGGCUGAAGAAGCCCCAAGACAGCCAGCUGGAGGAGGGCAAACCCGGCUACUUGGAUUGCCAGACCCAGGCCACACCAAAACCUACAGUUGUCUGGUACAGAAACCAGAUGCUUAUCUCAGAGGACUCACGGUUCGAGGUCUUCAAGAAUGGGACCUUGCGCAUCAACAACGUGGAGGUGUACGAUGGGACAUGGUACCGUUGUGUGAGCAGCACCCCAGCCGGCAGCAUCGAGGCGCAAGCCCGUGUCCAAGUGCUGGAAAAGCUCAAGUUCACACCACCACCCCAGCCACAGCAGUGCAUGGAGUUUGACAAGGAGGCCACGGUGCCCUGUUCAGCCACAGGCCGAGAGAAGCCCACUAUUAAGUGGGAACGGGCAGAUGGGAGCAGCCUCCCAGAGUGGGUGACAGACAAUGCUGGGACCCUGCAUUUUGCCCGGGUGACUCGAGAUGAUGCUGGCAACUACACUUGCAUUGCGUCCAACGGGCCGCAGGGCCAGAUUCGUGCCCAUGUCCAGCUCACUGUGGCAGUUUUUAUCACCUUCAAAGUGGAACCAGAGCGUACAACUGUGUACCAAGGCCACACAGCCCUACUGCAGUGCGAGGCCCAGGGGGACCCCAAGCCGCUGAUUCAGUGGAAAGGCAAGGACCGCAUCCUGGACCCCACCAAGCUGGGACCCAGGAUGCACAUCUUCCAGAAUGGCUCCCUGGUGAUCCAUGACGUGGCCCCUGAGGACUCAGGCCGCUACACCUGCAUUGCAGGCAACAGCUGCAACAUCAAGCACACGGAGGCCCCCCUCUAUGUCGUGGGUAUGGGCUGGGGAGGGGUGUGCUGCACAGGAAGUGGUGGGCCCAGACGUUUGUCACCUUGUACUCAGCCCCUGUGUACAGAACAUGGCACAGAAGCCAUUUUUGUGGCAGCGGUGGGGAUUCGGCCGUCUCACCAUGCUGCUGCACAGUCUUAGAGUCCUUGCUCAGAGCCGGGCUGUCGUUUAUUUAACAUCCAACGGUCGGUGUGUGUGUGUGUGUUGCGGGGGGGUGGGGGGGUGUUCUCUUCCUACAAUACUGCCUCCCAGGUUCCUGCAGCAGCCACACAUAUCUCUGGGUGGCUGGGGAGGAGGACCAGGUCAGAAUGCAGUAGGACAAGGUUCUUUUCUCCAGGAGGCCCAGAGAGGAUGAUGGGUCAGGUAAAAGGCCCUGCACUUAACUCUCUGCCCCUGGGAGACUUAUUUCUCCUCUGGGGACUUGUUUCUGCAUCCACAGGUGAAGGUGGUUUAAAUGAGAAGCUCUUAAACUUUCUUGGUUUGGCAGCAGCGUUAUUUUUCUAGACAAAGUAUAAUGUGAAAGUUUAAAUGGAUGAAAAUGAACUGAGGAGGCCCCCUUGGUGGGAGCCACUGGGGUGUGUGUGGCAGUUGGGGGAUCCUGCAUGGUCUCCCUUCAUUCCCCUAAUGCCUCUUGAGGCCCCUCAGUGUGGGCCAUUAAAAGGCCCCUAGACCAGCAGAUCCCUUCUACAGAUCUGCUUAUUGAAAAACCUGCUCUUUGCCAGGCAGUGCCUGGAAUUCUAAACCUGAAGCUCCCAAAUGCUGCUCUCCGGGGCCUGGCUCACAUUAUCAAGUCACUUGGGAAGCUUAACAAAUAACGUGGGUUUGUGGUAGCUCCUUGACAGGUGUGCUUAUCCGUGUUGCCUGUCUUGGCUUCCGAUGCAAAGCCAGCUUGGGAACCCCUGGCCUCAUCUCCUUCAGAGUCUUCGUUUGACCUUGGUGGGGCAUGAGGACCUGCUGGCCCUUGUUAAAGCCAGUGAAGGUGGUGACCCUCCCGGGCCAUCUGUUAAGUUGCCCUGUUGAUGGGGUUGGGAGGAGUUAGUAGAGAAGCAGGGCUUGUUUUGCUUAGCAGCCCCUGCCCAGACCCAUCUGUGUGUCUCUCAGACAAGCCUGUGCCGGAGGAGUCGGAGGGCCCUGGCAGCCCUCCCCCUUACAAGAUGAUCCAGACCAUUGGGUUGUCGGUGGGUGCCGCUGUGGCCUACAUCAUUGCCGUGCUGGGCCUCAUGUUCUACUGCAAGAAGCGCUGCAAAGCCAAGCGGCUGCAGAAGCAGCCCGAGGGCGAGGAGCCAGAGAUGGAAUGCCUCAAUGGUGGGCCUUUGCAGAAUGGGCAGCCCUCAGCAGAGAUCCAAGAGGAAGUGGCCUUGACCAGCUUGGGCUCCGGCCCCGCGGCCACCAACAAACGCCACAGCACAAGUGAUAAGAUGCACUUCCCACGGUCUAGCCUGCAGCCCAUCACCACGCUGGGGAAGAGUGAGUUUGGGGAGGUGUUCCUGGCAAAGGCUCAGGGCUUGGAGGAGGGAGUGGCAGAGACCCUGGUACUUGUGAAGAGCCUGCAGAGCAAGGAUGAGCAGCAGCAGCUGGACUUCCGGAGGGAGUUGGAGAUGUUUGGGAAGCUGAACCACGCCAACGUGGUGCGGCUCCUGGGGCUGUGCCGGGAGGCUGAGCCCCACUACAUGGUGCUGGAAUAUGUGGAUCUGGGAGACCUCAAGCAGUUCCUGAGGAUUUCCAAGAGCAAGGAUGAAAAAUUGAAGUCACAGCCCCUCAGCACCAAGCAGAAGGUGGCCCUGUGCACCCAGGUAGCCCUGGGCAUGGAGCACCUGUCCAACAACCGCUUUGUGCAUAAGGACUUGGCUGCGCGUAACUGCCUGGUCAGUGCCCAGAGACAAGUGAAGGUGUCUGCCCUGGGCCUCAGCAAGGAUGUGUACAACAGUGAGUACUACCACUUCCGCCAGGCCUGGGUGCCGCUGCGCUGGAUGUCCCCCGAGGCCAUCCUGGAGGGUGACUUCUCUACCAAGUCUGAUGUCUGGGCCUUCGGUGUGCUGAUGUGGGAAGUGUUUACACAUGGAGAGAUGCCCCAUGGUGGGCAGGCAGAUGAUGAAGUACUGGCAGAUUUGCAGGCUGGGAAGGCUAGACUUCCUCAGCCUGAGGGCUGCCCUUCCAAGCUCUAUCGGCUGAUGCAGCGCUGCUGGGCCCUCAGCCCCAAGGACCGGCCCUCCUUCAGUGAGAUUGCCAGCGCCCUGGGAGACAGCCCCGUGGACAGCAAGCCGUGAGGAGGGAGCCCGCUCAGGAUGGCCUGGGCAGGGGAGGACAUCUCUAGAGGGAAGCUCACAGCAUGAUGGGCAAGAUCCCUGUCCUCCUGGGCCCUGAGGCCCCUGCCCUAGUGCAACAGGCAUUGCUGAGGUCUGAGCAGGGCCUGGCCUUUCCUCCUCUUCCUCACCCCUCAUCCUUUGGGAGGCUGACUUGGACCCAAACUGGGCGACUAGGGCUUUGAGCUGGGCAGUUUUCCCUGCCACCUCUUCCUCUAUCAGGGACAGUGUGGGUGCCACAGGUAACCCCAAUUUCUGGCCUUCAACUUCUCCCCUUGACCGGGUCCAACUCUGCCACUCAUCUGCCAACUUUGCCUGGGGAGGGCUAGGCUUGGGAUGAGCUGGGUUUUUGGGGAGUUCCUUAAUAUUCUCAAGUUCUGGGCACACAGGGUUAAUGAGUCUCUUGGCCCACUGGUCCCACUUGGGGGUCUAGACCAGGAUUAUAGAGGACACAGCAAGUGAGUCCUCCCCACUCUGGGCUUGUGCACACUGACCCAGACCCACGUCUUCCCCACCCUUCUCUCCUUUCCUCAUCCUAAGUGCCUGGCAGAUGAAGGAGUUUUCAGGAGCUUUUGACACUAUAUAACCCGCCCUUUUUGUAUGCACCACGGGCGGCUUUUAUAUGUAAUUGCAGCGUGGGGUGGGUGGGCAUGGGAGGUAGGGGUGGGCCCUGGAGAUGAGGAGGGUGGGCCAUCCUUACCCCACACUUUUAUUGUUGUCGUUUUUUGUUUGUUUUGGUUUUUUUGUUUUUGUUUUUGUUUUUACACUCGCUGCUCUCAAUAAAUAAGCCUUUUUUAC
rnacentral:sRNA from 1 species